rnacentral:tRNA from 1 species
CGGAUUAAUGCCCUCUGGGUUGGGCGGUCAGCUGUUAACUGUUAUUUUGUGGGAUCGAGGCCCACUGAUCCGU